AUUGAACGCUGGCGGCAGGCUUAACACAUGCAAGUCGAGCGGAGAUGAGGUGCUUGCACCUUAUCUUAGCGGCGGACGGGUGAGUAAUGCUUAGGAAUCUGCCUAUUAGUGGGGGACAACAUUCCGAAAGGAAUGCUAAUACCGCAUACGCCCUACGGGGGAAAGCAGGGGAUCUUCGGACCUUGCGCUAAUAGAUGAGCCUAAGUCGGAUUAGCUAGUUGGUGGGGUAAAGGCCUACCAAGGCGACGAUCUGUAGCGGGUCUGAGAGGAUGAUCCGCCACACUGGGACUGAGACACGGCCCAGACUCCUGCGGGAGGCAGCAGUGGGGAAUAUUGGACAAUGGGCGGAAGCCUGAUCCGGCCAUGCCGCGUGUGUGAAGAAGGCCUUUUGGUUGUAAAGCACUUUAAGCGAGGAGGAGGCUACCUGGAUUAAUACUCUAGGAUAGUGGACGUUACUCGCAGAAUAAGCACCGGCUAACUCUGUGCCAGCCGCCGCAGUAAUAC
rnacentral:rRNA from 1 species